AACGAACGCUGGCGGCAUGCCUAACACAUGCAAGUCGAACGAGAUCUUCGGGUCUAGUGGCGCACGGGUGCGUAACGCGUGGGAAUCUGCCCUUUGGUUCGGAAUAACAGUUGGAAACGACUGCUAAUACCGGAUGAUGACGAAAGUCCAAAGAUUUAUCGCCAGAGGAUGAGCCCGCGUAGGAUUAGCUAGUUGGCGUGGUAAAGGCGCACCAAGGCGACGAUCCUUAGCUGGUCUGAGAGGAUGAUCAGCCACACUGGGACUGAGACACGGCCCAGACUCCUACAGGAGGCAGCAGUGGGGAAUAUUGGACAAUGGGCGAAAGCCUGAUCCAGCAAUGCCGCGUGAGUGAUGAAGGCCUUAGGGUUGUAAAGCUCUUUUACCCGGGAUGAUAAUGACAGUACCGGGAGAAUAAGCUCCGGCUAACUCCGUGCCAGCCGCCGCAGUAA
rnacentral:rRNA from 1 species